UUUGAAGCCACUCAGUUUGUGGAGCUUUGUCACGGCAAAUCCAGAAACAAACACACCGGCUUUCUCAGAGCUUCCUGGUGGCCAGCGCCCUGUGCCUCUGAUGGUAUGGGAUGAAAAGGGAUGUUCGUUGUCUGCCAGUAAAUUCCUGCUCUGGGGGUGCCGGGAGCCGGCUGAGUCUGAGCAGGAUAUUCAUCAAGACCCAGGACUACCGUCUCUUCCUGGCGGCCUCCAGUGCCCCAAUUCCAGGAGCAGUGGGAGAGGGUAUCUGGCCACUCUGUGGGCUGCAAUUGGCAUUGGUGACAAAGGCUGGCUGAGUCGCUGUUGGCAGGUGGACCACCGACCCCACUGCCUGAGCUUGGGAGCAGGUCAUGAGGGAAGAUAAAUUGAAGCCGAGCCAAGCUGAAUUGGAGGCAUCUGAGACAAGAACGUGCGGACGCCCAGUGGACGAUCCAGGCAGGCUGGGGUGUUGGGGACGGAGCCGUGGAUACACCCAUACUCAACAGGCAGAGGGAAUAGAUAUUCGACGGGGGACCGGGGUGUCAACAGAUGUAUCCGAGUUCAUGCGUGGCAGGGAGCUGGCGGCGGGACCCGUCCCUCCAGCUGGCUCUCCAACCCCAAGCCUGCAUUACGACCACGGCAAAAUGCCAGAAGCCCAGAGAAGCGGGGUUUCUGAAGCGGAUCGUUUGUUCAGCCCGAGUGCGUGGGGCAGGAACACACCUGGAGGUCAUUAAAGAGAAGUCUUCACGGGGCACUCAAGGCACACUGCAAAACAACUUUUUAUUUAAAAGGCCAAUAAUGAGAAUAAUGAGUUGCACAAGAAUGAAAACCUUAUCCCUUCCAAAAGAUCGGCC
rnacentral:lncRNA from 1 species